rnacentral:snoRNA from 1 species
UGGCCUGUGAUGAAAUUUGUAUUAAAGAACACCAUCUUUCGGGACUGAUAUACCCUUUUUUUUAAAAGGUUUUGAUGUUAAUUCUGCAAUUCUGAGGCCC